GUAGACUGACAUUUAUCUCAGUUUAAACCAUUAAGGACCAAACCUCUGGAAUAAAAGGGAAUCAUGACAUGUCACACAUGUCAUGUGUCCGUAAGGGGUUAAUGCAUGCCCCCUAACUUUUCCGAUUCGGUAGGACAAUCAUAAUUUCGGACUGUUUUUCCACUGUCCCAAUUUCAUUCCCUGGUAUCCUGCCACUGACGACGCCAGGGAACUGACACCAGGGCGCUGCAUGUUCAGCGGCG